rnacentral:rRNA from 1 species
AGUGAACGCUGGCGGUAGGCCUAACACAUGCAAGUCGAACGGCAGCACAGAGGAGCUUGCUCCUUGGGUGGCGAGUGGCGGACGGGUGAGGAAUACAUCGGAAUCUACUCUGUCGUGGGGGAUAACGUAGGGAAACUUACGCUAAUACCGCAUACGAACUACGGGUGAAAGCAGGGGACCUUCGGGCCUUGCGCGAUUGAAUGAGCCGAGGGCGGAUUAGCUAGUUGGCUGGGUAACGGCCCACCAAGGCGACGAUCCGUAGCUGGUCUUAGGGGAUGAGCAGCCACACUGGAGAUGAGCAACGGUACAGACUCCUACGGGAGGCAGCAGUGGGGAAUAUUGGACAAUGGGCGCAAGCCUGAUCCAGCCAUACCGCGUGGGUGAAGAAGGCCUUCGGGUUGUCAAGCCCUUUUGUUGGGAAAGAAAUCCAGCUGGGUAAUACCCGGUGGGGAUGACGGUACCCAAAGAAUAAGCACCGGCUAACUUCGUGCCAGCCGCCGCCGUAA